UCGACGAGCAACUGGACACGCACGCACCCUCCCUUCCCUACAGUAGGAAGUGCCUCUCCCUUCCCCGUUUCCUGCAAUUUGGAGAAUGAGUGAUAAGGCGGAUUAGUGUGAUGCCAAUGUGAGGCAUUUCAUUGAUAUUUGUGGAGAGAUAGAAGCCGGGAAUAUGCCUUCGGGAAUGUCCAUCAAGAAUGGAUGGAAAAAUCUGAGAUCUAAGUAUGAAGAAAAAAUAGGGCUGAAGCAAACAAAGAAAUAAUUGAAGAACAAAUUGGACAAUAUGAAAAAGAAAUAUACUUGGUUUAUGGAGUUUAAGAGUGCCACCGGUCUUGAAUGAACGAGGCAAAGUAAACUGUUGAUUGCUCUAAGGAAUGGUGGGAUGAACACCUUGCUGUAAGAUCCCUCAUUGUCCAUUAUUCAUGUUAAUAUUUAUAUGGGUUGACUUGCUAUUUUCUUAUGUAAUUUCAGAGAUGCAACAAUGCUGAGAAAGGUAUCAAAAGCAACCAUGUGAGGUUCAUAAAACAAGGACCGAAGAACUUUGAUGACCUGGACAUAUUGUUUGACAAGUUUCAUGUUAGUGGUGCGACUACAACAUGUCCAGAUGAUGUUUCCUCUGGUGAGUCAAGUGAUGAGGAUGUGGAUGAGGUAAAGUUGGAUGCUUUGAAGAAAUCAAAAUUAGGAAGAAAAAAAAAGAGGAAGCAUAAAGAAAUCUCUGCCACUACUUAAAAGAAGGAUGAGAAUAGUCCAUUCUUUCAAUUGUACAAGAGCACAUGUUCGAAGAUAGAAACUGCAGCAGAGAAGAUCUCCACAAGUAUUGAAGCAUCAUUGGCGCCUCCACCCAACCCAGUCUCAAGCAUUAAAGAGGCCAUGUAGAUGGUUAAAGAUUGUGGGGUGCAAGAAAAAAUUGCUCUAAUGUACACAUCUACUUUGCUAAUCGUCAAGCCUGAUUUAAGAGAGGUUUUUAGUUCCCUGGAAAUGAAUGAAGGAAGGUUCAAUUUGUUUGAGAGGGAACAUGAAAUGGAGAUGAAUAGGUGCCAGUAGUACCUUUUGCUUAUUUCCAUAUUUGGAGAACCAUUACUUCAUGUAAAACUCUAUUUUCUUAUGUUAUCUGUGAACCAUUAUUUGCUUAUUUCCUUCUGUCGAGAACCAUUAGUUCAUAUAAAACUCUUUGCUUA